GUGAGGAAUUUUCCGCAAUGGGCGAAAGCCUGACGGAGCAAUGCCGCGUGAAGGAUGAAGGCCUAUGGGUUGUAAACUUCUUUUCUCAGAAAAGAAUUAUGACGGUAUCUGAGGAAUAAGCAUCGGCUAACUCUGUGCCAGCAGCCGCGGUAAGACAGAGGAUGCAAGCGUUAUCCGGAAUGAUUGGGCGUAAAGCGUCUGUAGGUUGUUUAAAAAGUAUUCUGUCAAAGAUUAGGGCUUAACCAUAGAUAGGCAGAAUAAACUUUUAAGCUAGAGGUUCGUAGAGGCAGAGGGAAUUCCCGGGGGAGCGGUGAAAUGCGUAGAUAUCGGGAGGAACACCAAAGGCGAAGGCACUCUGCUGGGCCAAUACUAACACUGAGAGACGAAAGCGAGGGGAGCAAAUGGGAUUAGAUACCCGAGUAGUCC
rnacentral:rRNA from 1 species